ensembl:lncRNA
AGUUUAGUGUUGAGAGACACAGGAGUGCUGUGGCCUAACUUCCUUUCGGGGCCCCUGAGCCUGCCAUAGGCCAGGGACUGUUUGGCAGGGGUUUGGUAUGGUUUAGGAGGAGAUUAAACCUGAGAAAUCAUGGGAUAUCCCUGGCGGUCUUGCAGAUGCUGGGAAAGCAGGCUCCCAUAGCAGCCCCGGUGAGAGAUAAGGGCUCUUUGCCUGAAAUGAAAAAUUCAUGAAGGAAGACUAGGGAUCAGGCACUAGGAGAGCCGCCAAGUUGCUGUGCUCUAGGGACGUGGCAAGAAGCUGGAAAAGCCAAAUGGAAAUUUUCUUUCCUCUCCAGCACCUCCCUCAGGCUCCCCUUCCGUGUUCAGCGGGGCUCCUUUCGCCCCUGUAGCCACCCACACCUCCGCAGUCUCAUUUGAGACUCCAGGCCAGCACCGGCAAUGCCCAUGUGCCAGGGCAUUCAGGAAGAGGGAUACUGCUCUGUACCCAGACCGGGCAUCCACCACCAGCCUCAGUAAAAUGUGUACUAUUGCUAGAGCAAGCUGGCACAGUCCUGACCACCUGCCAACCCCAAAACUGGAGAAGCCCCAAACUGGCUAUUAUUUGCCCCUAGAGGUACCCCUGUCUCCAGAUGACUUCCAAUUCCAAUUCCCUGACCCACAAAUCUAACCAAAAUUCAUAAGAUUGAUCAGAUGAUCGUACUUACAACUUGAAGAGGAAACCUUGAAUCUGUUGUCACCACGCUGGGCAGGCAAUGGUUUAUAGAGCUAUUAAAGUGGAGACUUCCUGGUGGUGCACUGGCUAAGACUACUCCCAAUGCACUGGACCCGGGUUUGAUCCCUGGUCAGUGACCUAGAUCCCACAUGCCACAACCAAGAGUUUGCAAGCUACAACUAAAGAUGUGCUGUAACUAAAACCUGGUGAAGCCAAAUAAAUAG